rnacentral:rRNA from 1 species
UAGUCGCACGAGUUUAGACUCGUGGCGGAAAGCUCAGUAACACGUGGCCAAACUACCCUACGGACCGGACUAACCUCGGGAAACUGAGGCUAAUGCCGGAUACGGCUCCCACGCUGAAGUGCGGGGAGCCGGAAACGCCCCGGCGCCGUAGGAUGUGGCUGCGGCCGAUUAGGUAGACGGUGGGGUAACGGCCCACCGUGCCCAUAAUCGGUACGGGUCAUGAGAGUGAGAGCCCGGAGACGGUAUCUGAGACAAGAUACCGGGCCCUACGGGGCGCAGCAGGCGCGAAACCUUUACACUGCACGCCAGUGCGAUAGGGGGACUCCGAGUGCGAGGGCAUACAGUCCUCGCUUUUCUGUACCGUAAGGUGGUACAGGAACAAGUGCUGGGCAAGACCGGUGCCAGCCGCCGCGGUAAUACCGGCAGCACGAGUGAUGGCCGAUUUUAUUGGGCCUAAAGCGUCCGUAGCUGGCCGAACAAGUCCGUUGGGAAAUCGACGCGCCCAACGCGUCGGCGUCCAGCGGAAACUGUUCGGCUUGGGGCCGGAGGACUCGANGGGUACGUCCGGGGUAGGAGUGAAAUCCUGUAAUCCUGGACGGACCACCGGUUGGCGAAAGCGCCUCCAGAGGACGGACCCGANCAGUGAGGGA